UUGACCUACGGGGCGCAGCAGUGGGGAAUAUUGCACAAUGGGUGAAAGCCUGAUGCAGCAACGCCGCGUGAAGGAAGAAGGCCUUCGGGUCGUAAACUUCUGUCCUUGGGGAAGAAGAACUGACGGUACCCAAGGAGGAAGCCCCGGCUAACUACGUGCCAGCAGCCGCGGUAAUACGGAGGGUGCGAGCGUUAAUCGGAAUUACUGGGCGUAAAGCGCUCGUAGGCGGUAUGUCAAGUCAAGGGUGAAAUCCCCGCGCUCAACGUGGGAACUGCCUUUGAAACUGGCAAACUGGAGGGUGUGAG
rnacentral:rRNA from 1 species